rnacentral:rRNA from 1 species
UGGGGAAUAUUGGACAAUGGGCGCAAGCCUGAUCCAGCCAUGCCGCGUGGGUGAAGAAGGCUUUCGGGUUGUAAAGCCCUUCUGUUGGGAAAGAAAAGCAGUCGGUUAAUACCCGAUUGUUCUGACGGUACCCAAAGAAUAAGCACCGGCUAACUUCGUGCCAGCAGCCGCGGUAAUACGAAGGGUGCAAGCGUUACUCGGAAUUACUGGGCGUAAAGCGUGCGUAGGUGGUUUGUUAAGUCUGAUGUGAAAGCCCUGGGCUCAACCUGGGAAUUGCAUUGGAUACUGGCAGGCUGGAGUGCGGUAGAGGGUAGUGGAAUUCCCGGUGUAGCAGUGAAAUGCGUAGAGAUCGGGAGGAACAUCCGUGGCGAAGGCGACUACCUGGACCAGCACUGACACUGAGGCACGAAAGCGUGGGGAGCAAACAGGAUUAGAUACCCUGGUAGUCCACGCCCUAAACGAUGCGAACUGGAUGUUGGGUUCAAUUAGGAACUCAGUAUCGAAGCUAACGCGUUAAGUUCGCCGCCUGGGGAGUACGGUCGCAAGACUGAAACUCAAAUGAAUUGACGGGGUCAUAGCUGUUUCC